rnacentral:rRNA from 1 species
UUUUCCCUACGGGAGGCAGCAGUGGGGAAUUUUGCGCAAUGGGGGAAACCCUGACGCAGCAACGCCGCGUGCGGGAUGACGGCCCUCGGGUUGUAAACCGCUUUCAGCAGGGAAGAUAUUGACGGUACCUGCAGAAGAAGCUCCGGCUAACUACGUGCCAGCAGCCGCGGUAAUACGUAGGGAGCGAGCGUUAUCCGGAUUCAUUGGGCGUAAAGCGCGCGUAGGCGGCUGCCUAAGCGGAACCUCUAACCCCGGGGCUCAACCUCGGGCCGGGUUCCGGCCUGGGCGUCUCGAGCGCGGUCGAG